UUGGAAGGGACAUUAAAGAUUACCCAGUCCCAAACCCAGUUUCAUGGCGGGCAAUAGUCAAGAUAGCUGAAUAACAAUUCCCGGCAGGCAUGAAACGAAUGAAGUGAGUGUUACUCCUUGCCAGCUGAAGUUACUCCUUGUCAACUGAAGUGUUCACAGAAACUGACCUAAAUGUCCAGAAGGCCUUUGCACAUGAUGUUUAACGCAGUGGGUGCAGGGAUCUGUGGACCUACAGGAGUAACCGUAGAGAUGUUCAGUCAGCCUGGUGAAGGAUCCAGCUUGAGUGACAUCUGACACAGGUUGUGCUUGAAAAGGUCCUGCAAGGGAUAUAGGGCUGAGAAGACAGUAAUGGCUUUACAGAUCAGUUCAGAAAGGCCAUGCCCUUUCAGCCUUCAUGGUCUCAUCUAGAUGUCCAUCAGCUAAGACAAGUGAUUAAAAUAGUCUUUACUGCUGUUUAAUUUAUGCCCAGAGCUGUGUCUAUGAGCACAGGAGAUUAAAUGUGUCGUGGUUGUCUAAGAAGAGAUUGCUACACAAGGGGUGCAGGAACACACUUGGUAAUGUGAACAGAUUACUUCAGAACAUUCCUUGGAACAUUCACUGAUGACAACCAAGAAGAAGCAAUACUCUGAAUCUCUAGCACCAUGGGUGCAUAGCCAUCUCUGUGCUGUUGAAAUAAAUCCAUCAAAUUCUGAUUGCAAGAUCUAGAAUGGGCCUGCUAUCUUCUCUGAAUGAUAUUACCUUAAUGUUGCCAUCUUAUGAAAAACAGUGAAGGGAGAAGAAACAUCUUAUCAACUCCUGCCCAUUCAAAUAAGGAAAAGGUUUUUUGGAGCUGGGAGGAAAUGCAGGAGGUGAACAGUUUAAAGAAAUAUGGCCAUGCCAUUUAGACAUGUUCCUUUUGUUUGUUUAUUUUUUUCCCCACUAUGUAUUAGACAUCCCAUUUGAAGGUGCUGCUCUCUUCCCUACCAUCAUGCUCAUAUGUACAAAAAUUUUUGCAUCAGUUUAGGAGAGAAAUGUUUACAGUGCAGUAAUAUAUGGAUAUGUUGCAAAAUGCAGGUGUUCCAGAACAUGGAAUAUGCCACAUAAAUGGCAUCUGUGGCUCUGAGUUUUUAAAGGUGAACUAACUAAGUAAUUCUAGGUAUGGUAAAGGAUGUUACUGUAAUCAAAUACAGGAGUCUGGCUUUAUUUCAGUAUAUCUUUAUAUUGAGCUAAUGGAAAACAGAUGGCCUAUUUAUGGAAGUUGAGUAUUAAAGGACAUUUUCACCCUUAUGAUGUUCCCACUAAUGGGUAAAAUGAACCACUUGUAUUAUCUUAGAAAGUUGUCAGCUUUAGAUACUAGGUAUGCUUGAUUAACUCUCACUGUAUCUGUACCUUAUAAUGUAAUAUGGCUUCAAAUGAAACACAAUAAGAUGGUGUUUUAAAUUUGAGUGCUCCUGCUGGAAGUAACAUUAUCUUUUUUCUCUUUUGCUGCAGAGUAAAUCUGAUUGCUUUUUAAAAUCUUUAAAAACCCUAUUUUUUUAGUUGCAUAGUUGUACUUAAACACAUAUUUUUCAGAGAAAGCCACUAACACCAUUAUUCCUGCUGAUAAUAUGACUAAUGAAACAUCAGUUCGAGCAUAGUAAGUGCUGUACUGUCCAUAAAGCAAUGCAAAAUGCUCUGUGAAAGAACUGAGAUCUCAUUUCCAAGUUAAGAUAUUCUGAACAACUCGACCGUUGCUUAAAAAAAAAAGAAUCUGUGUGAUUGUAUUUUUCAUUUAUUUCUUUUGUAUUGUACAAGAGAUAAGAAGUAUAUUGUAGAAUUUUUUUGUGGCAG